CUCCUGCCUCAGCCUCCCGAGUAGCUGGGAUUACAGUUGGUGAGUUCCAUGAGGAGACUGCAACUUCUCCACCCUGUGCCCCUCCAGAUCCCUCAUGCUGCUCUGUGUCCUCCAGGGUUGGCCUGUCCAAGUUCAACAGUGGGCUUCCACACCCUCCCACUUCCAGCUGGGUUGGCCAAGGGACCCCACUAAAACAGCAUCCUGCACAAAAUAGAACAUAGCAGGCCGGGCGCAGUGGCUCACACCUGUAAUCCCAGCACUUUGGGAGGCCGAGGAGGGCGGAUCACCUGAGGUC
rnacentral:lncRNA from 1 species